UACAGAGGGUGCUAGCGUUGUUCGGAAUCAUUGGGCGUAAAGGGCGUGUAGGCGGUUUGUUAAGUCAUGUGUGAAAUCCCUCGGCUCAACCGGGGAACGACGCAUGAAACUGGCAAGCUAGAGUACCAAAGAGGGGGGUGGAAUUCCCGGUGUAGCGGUGAAAUGCGCAGAUAUCAGGAGGAACACCAAUGGCGAAGGCAGCACUCUGGGACGUGACUGACGCUGAGACGCGAAAGCGUGGGGAGCAAACAGG
rnacentral:rRNA from 1 species